rnacentral:rRNA from 1 species
UCUGGGAUAAGCCUGGGAAACUGGGUCUAAUACCGGAUACGACCGAUCACCGCAUGGUGUGUUGGUGGAAAGCUUUUGCGGUUUUGGAUGGACUCGCGGCCUAUCAGCUUGUUGGUGGGGUAAUGGCCUACCAAGGCGACGACGGGUAGCCGGCCUGAGAGGGUGACCGGCCACACUGGGACUGAGACACGGCCCAGACUCCUACGGGAGGCAGCAGUGGGGAAUAUUGCACAAUGGGCGAAAGCCUGAUGCAGCGACGCCGCGUGAGGGAUGACGGCCUUCGGGUUGUAAACCUCUUUCAGUAGGGAAGAAGCGUAAGUGACGGUACCUGCAGAAGAAGCGCCGGCUAACUACGUGCCAGCAGCCGCGGUAAUACGUAGGGCGCAAGCGUUAUCCGGAAUUAUUGGGCGUAAAGAGCUCGUAGGCGGUUUGUCGCGUCUGCUGUGAAAGACCGGGGCUCAACUCCGGUUCUGCAGUGGGUACGGGCAGACUAGAGUGAUGUAGGGGAGACUGGAAUUCCUGGUGUAGCGGUGAAAUGCGCAGAUAUCAGGAGGAACACCGAUGGCGAAGGCAGGUCUCUGGGCAUUAACUGACGCUGAGGAGCGAAAGCAUGGGGAGCGAACAGGAUUAGAUACCCUGGUAGUCCAUGCCGUAAACGUUGGGCACUAGGUGUGGGGGACAUUCCACGUUUUCCGCGCCGUAGCUAACGCA